rnacentral:lncRNA from 1 species
AUUUAAUAUCGCGUCACAUUUACAGAUUAACAAGAUAAAAUAAUUUAUUGACAAAUGUUUUCGACGUUCUCAAUUGGCCUAUUCUAUAAAGAGCGGUCGAGGAUGUACUGUAUGUAUAUGGGUGGAGGCGGAUCGCUCUUUCGCGCACGCGCGUUACUUCAAUGUAUAAGUCACGUGAUGUGGAAGUUGGGGGGUCUGAUGGUUGUCACCGACGAUUGUCACUACGGAUCAGUGUUCUUCAAACUUUGUCAAUUUAAGGAACCCUUGUGAAUAUAAAAUUAUUUGGCGGCACCCAGGAUCAUAAACAAUAGAAUAUUCACAAUCUAGG